AGGCACUCCAGCUAUUCCUUCAAGUCCAAAUGCAUAACCGCACUCCGGAAUCCUGAUACCACUCCUGGUACAAGCUGGGACCCAGCAGGAAACGGAAACAGCGCAAUUGUUUGGACAAGGAAGAAGCAUAGUAUGAGUCAAGAAAGUCAGUCCUGGCAGCUGGUGAAGAGGAGAAAGACCAGAGAGGUGUGGCUUGUCACAGGGUAGGGGGCACACUGCUGACCCUGGCCAGGACAACAGCCACCCUGCGACCAUGUGACAUGCCAGGUAAUCUCUCUGCCUCCUUAGGAAGUAGGAAAUCUCUAUCCUCAGUUUCCAAAGGAGAGGUUCUGUGGCUCAUUUUAGGCUUGCCCAGUGUUGGGGGGCUGAGGAGAAAGAGGAGGAGGGGUCCUCUUUCGUCUUCUCAGGGGAUGGGGACAUCAAUCAGGUAAGGAGGGCUAUAGGAGAGGACAUCUUAAGUGGCUAUCAGGACAGAGGCUGGAGGGCGGGGCACCUAGAUGUUUAGAGACAAAUCUCCCCCCACCCCCGACCCCUAGUGACACUCUGUUCCAGAGGCAGCCAGCUCUCUUCUAGAAGUUCAGAGGUCACUGGGACCUCUUGUUUUCUGGUGCCACUUUGUCAUUUAACUAAUGGGGAGACUAAGGCUGGGGAUGAGAUGUCCUUGCCCCAAGUGGCAGAAAGCGGCUCCAGACUGCCAAGGCCCCCCUCCUUCAUGCCAGAACAGUCUUACGGCUUUUGUGGGGUGGCAUCCCGGUCAUGGGUGGGAGGCUAAGGGUCAAGAGAGAGAGCAGGUGACAGAACCCAAGCCUACAGGACAGUCUGGGGGAGGUCAUGGGAAGUGGUGAUGCCUCAUGUCCCUAGGAUGUCUUGGCACACUGGUUACUGUUCGAUGUCUCCAUUGCCUCACCCUCUUGCCUGUCUCAUUGGCAGAGGGAGGCUGUGUUUAGCUACCAGGUACAGUGCAGUGAUGUCAGGGCUGGUGAGAUUAAGGACUCAGUGUGGGCAGGGACAGAGGGCCACUCCUCAGUAGCUGCUAGAAGAAGUGACUGUCCACUGUGGCUACAGAUCAGGAAUGACUUGGGACUUUCUAGAGUGGUUUUUCAUACGAGGCAAGCUGCAAGGUGCUGGGUGGGACAGGGCCUGGUUGGUCUUGGAGGGAGAACUUCCCUCAGGCCUCAGGAUUCACAGUUCAUUUAGUGUACUUGUGGCAGAUGCAGGGUCGCUCAGCCUCCAAAGACACUCAGGAUGAGAGCUUUCAAGAACAUCGAGACCUCUGCUGGCCUCUGUCCU
rnacentral:lncRNA from 1 species